CCUACGGGAGGCAGCAGUAAGGAAUAUUGGUCAAUGGACGAAAGUCUGAACCAGCCAUGCCGCGUGAAGGAUUAAGGCCCUCUGGGUUGUAAACUUCUUUUAUCUGGGACGAAAAAAGGGUAUUCUUACUCACUUGACGGUACCAGAGGAAUAAGCACCGGCUAACUCCGUGCCAGCAGCCGCGGUAAUACGGAGGGUGCAAGCGUUAUCCGGAUUUACUGGGUUUAAAGGGUGCGUAGGUGGGCUUGUAAGUCAGUGGUGAAAUCUCCGGGCUUAACCCGGAAACUGCCAUUGAUACUAUAGGUCUUGAAUUAUCUGGAGGUAAGCGGAAUAUGUCAUGUAGCGGUGAAAUGCUUAGAUAUGACAUAGAACACCAAUUGCGAAGGCAGCUUACUACGGAUAUAUUGACACUGAGGCACGAAAGCGUGGGGAGUCAAACAGGAUUAGAUACCCUGGUAGUCCACGCCCUAAACCGAUGGAUACUCGACAUCAGCGAUACACUGUUGGUGUCUGAGCGAAAGCAUUAAGUAUCCCACCUGGAAGUACGAUCGCAAGAUUGAAACUCAAAGANAGUGCGNGNGAGAGACGACGACGACGACGACGGAGGAGGAGG
rnacentral:rRNA from 1 species